rnacentral:rRNA from 1 species
GAAAAUAACCAUGAUUCCCUUAGUAGCGGCGAGCGAACAGGGAUGAGCUCAAGCCUUUAAUCUCCUUUUUGUGAGAGUUGUGGUGUAUCUCUGGUUGCCUGUGACGUCAUCUCGACUAAGUUUUUUUGUGAUUUUAUGUCAUAGAGGGUAAAAGCCCCGUCCGUUGAGAUUGUGUUCACUUCCGGCGCCAAGAGUGUGAGUCGUGUUGCUUGGGACUGCAGCACUAAUUGGGAGGUAAUAUCCUUCUAAGGCUAAAUAUUUUGGAGAGACCGAUAGCGAACAAGUACCGUGAGGGAAAGAUGAAAAGAACUUUGAAAAGAAUGUUAAAAGUACGUGAAAUCGUUAGAUGAAAGCGAAUGGCAUAGCUUUGGGGUGCAGUAUCUUUGUUUACGUUGUUUAGUUUGGCUUGGCCAUCUAUUCCGCACUUACAUCGAUUCUGGAGGAUUGGAUCGUACUCUCUUCGUUUGUAGUUGUCUCUCUGGUCAAUUCUAUUCUCGACUAAGUUGAAGUAGUUUUCUCUGGUUGGCCUCUGCUUUCGUGUGUGCAUCCUGACCCCAUUACACCUUUGUCAUCCGACCCGUCUUGAAACACGGACCAAGGAGUCUAACAUAUGUGCGAGUCUUCGAGUUGCAAACUCUUGGGCGCAGAGAAAUCGAUCUGUGGUACCUUCUGGACACCACUGGCAGUUUGUGAUUCUUCGGAUGAUACACUCCUCGCCUGAGCAUGUAUGU